CUAUGGUUGAGAUGGCACUAUGG
rnacentral:miRNA from 1 species